rnacentral:rRNA from 1 species
UACGGGGGGAGCAAGCGUUGUUCGGAUUUACUGGGCGUAAAGGGCGCGUAGGCGGCGCAACAAGUCACUUGUGAAAUCCCCGGGCUCAACCCGGGAACUGCGUCCGAGACUGAAAGGCUAGAAUCCGGGAGAGGGAUGUGGAAUUCCAGGUGUAGCGGUGAAAUGCGUAGAUAUCUGGAGGAACAUCGGUGGCGAAGGCGGCAUCCUGGACCGGUAUUGACGCUGAGGCGCGAAAGCCAGGGGAGCAAACGGG